UUCCUCACGAAACUUCAGUGCUGCCUCAUG
rnacentral:piRNA from 2 species